rfam:Dipodomys ordii contig_1269, whole genome shotgun sequence.
GAGAAGGUGGCUCAGUAGUAGAGUGCUUGCCUUGUAUGCAUGAGGCCCUGGGUUCAAUUCCUCAGCGCCUCA